UGGGGAAACAGUUCAGUUGGUAGAAAGCUUGCCUCUCAUGCACAAGGCCCUGGGUUCAAUCCCCAGUACCACAA
rnacentral:tRNA from 1 species